GUAGGGUGCGAGCGUUAAUCGGAAUUACUGGGCGUAAAGCGUGCGCAGGCGGUUCUAUAAGACAGAUGUGAAAUCCCCGGGCUCAACCUGGGAAUGGCAUUUGUGACUGUAGGGCUAGAGUACGGUAGAGGGGGAUGGAAUUCCGCGUGUAGCAGUGAAAUGCGUAGAUAUGCGGAGGAACACCGUUGGCGAAGGCAGCCCCCUGGGCCAAUACUGACGCUCAUGCACGAAAGCGUGGGGAGCAAACAGGAUUAGAUACCCUGGUAGUCCACGCCCUAAACGAUGUCAACUAGUUGUUGGGGAUUCAUUUCCUUAGUAACGUAGCUAACGCGUGAAGUUGACCGCCUGGGGAGUACGGUCGCAAGAUUA
rnacentral:rRNA from 1 species